GACGAACGCUGGCGGCGUGCUUAACACAUGCAAGUCGAGCGGAGCGGCGAACGGGUGCGUAACGCGUGAGUAACUGCCCCCCUCCCUGUGAUAACAGUUGGAAACGGCUGCUAAUACCGGAUAGUGGGGGAUGACUCGCGUCCUAUCAGCUUGUUGGUUGGGUAGUGGCCUACCAAGGCGACGACGGGUGGCCGGCCUGAGAGGGCGACCGGCCACAUUGGGCAGAGUGACGGCCGAAACUCCAACGGGGGGCAGCAGUGGGGGAUAUUGCACAAUGGGGGAAACCCUGGUGCAGCGACGCCGCGUGCGGGAGUACGGCCUUCGGGUUGUAAACCGCUUUCGGUCAUGACGCGGUAGUGGCAGAAGAAGCACCGGCUAACUACGUGCCAGCAGCCGCGGUAAUU
rnacentral:rRNA from 1 species